UACGGAGGGUCCAAGCGUUAAUCGGAAUUACUGGGCGUAAAGCGCGCGUGGGCGGAUAUUUAAGUCAGAUGUGAAAUCCCUGGGCUCAACCUAGGAACUGCAUUUGAAACUGGGUAUCUAGAGUAUGGUAGAGGUGAGUGGAAUUUCAGGUGUAGCGGUGAAAUGCGUAGAGAUCUGAAGGAACAUCAGUGGCGAAGGCGACUCACUGGGCCAUUACUGACGCUGAGGUGCGAAAGCGUGGGUAGCAAACAGG
rnacentral:rRNA from 1 species